UAGGGAAUCUUCCACAAUGGACGAAAGUCUGAUGGAGCAACGCCGCGUGAGUGAAGAAGGGUUUCGGCUCGUAAAACUCUGUUGUUAAAGAAGAACAUAUCUGAGAGUAACUGUUCAGGUAUUGACGGUAUUUGACCGGAAAGCCACGGCUAACUACGUGCAG
rnacentral:rRNA from 1 species